AGAUUGAACGCUGGCGGCAUGCUUUACACAUGCAAGUCGAACGGUAACAGGCCGCAAGGUGCUGACGAGUGGCGAACGGGUGAGUAAUGUAUCGGAACGUGCCCAGUCGUGGGGGAUAACGCAGCGAAAGCUGCGCUAAUACCGCAUACGAUCUAUGGAUGAAAGCGGGGACCUAAGGCCUCGCGCGAUUGGAGCGGCCGAUAUCAGAUUAGGUAGUUGGUGGGUAAAGGCUCACCAAGCCAACGAUCUGUAGCUGGUCUGAGAGGGCGACGACGACCGACGACGUGGGACCUGAGACGACGGCCCAGACGUCCGUACGGGAGGCAGACGAGGUGGGGUAAUUUGGACAAGUGGGCGCGAA
rnacentral:rRNA from 1 species